rnacentral:rRNA from 1 species
GGCGUAACGCGUGGGAAUCUGCCCCUCGGUUGGGAAUAACACAGAGAAAUUUGUGCUAAUACCGGAAUAAUGACGUAAGUCCAAAGAUUUAUCGCCGGAGGGAUGAGCCCGCGUAGGAUUAGCUUGUUGGUGGGGUAAUGGCCCACCAAGGCGACGAUCCUUAGCUGGUCUGAGAGGAUGAUCAGCCACACUGGGACUGAGACACGGCCCAGACUCCUACGGGAGGCAGCAGUGGGGAAUAUUGGACAAUGGGCGAAAGCCUGAUCCAGCAAUGCCGCGUGAGUGAUGAAGGCCUUAGGGUUGUAA